rnacentral:rRNA from 1 species
UACGGAGGAUCCGAGCGUUAUCCGGAUUUAUUGGGUUUAAAGGGUGCGCAGGCGGGGGAUUAAGUCGGCGGUGAAAUUUUGCAGCUCAACUGUAAAAGUGCCUUCGAAACUGGUUUCCUUGAGUGUGGAUGAAGUAGGCGGAAUUUGUGGUGUAGCGGUGAAAUGCAUAGAUAUCACGAGGAACUCCGAUUGCGCAGGCAGCUUACUAAACCAUAACUGACGCUCAGGCACGAAGGCGUGGGGAUCAAACAGGAUUAGAUACCCCGGUAGUCCCU